rnacentral:misc_RNA from 1 species
AUCGUGCGGCACAUCGGGGAGGCGCCGUUCCUGGUGCACCUGUUCAACGACGACGACGGCGGCAGCGGGCGGGGAGGCGCGGGGCGCGUGACGGUGCGGCGGGAGACGGCGUCGGCGGAGAGCUGGCCCGACGUGCGGCGGCGGUGGGGCCCGGGCGGGAUGCGGCGUCCCGACGGAAUCAUACUGGUCGAGCAGAUCGCCGCGGCGGUCGAGGAGGGCG